AACCGGUUAGGACUAGUUUGCUUGGCCCUCGGCCAAAGGGCGGACGCCGCCUGUGGAAAGUCCCUGGCCUUGGGCCAAGGGGCGGACACAGCCUGUGGAAAGCCCCUACUUGCUUAUGUAUGAGUUGUGUUUGUAUUCUGUAUAUAUAGUAGCAUGGUCUCAGUCCCGCCCUUGGACUCCAUACCAGGCCAAGCUUUGGUGCGCUCGGCUCCCCGCCUCCGUGGCAGCAAUGCCAGGAAUCCCCGUUGCAGUGCGUGGGACUUUAUGACGACUUUUUGUCUGAGGUGGCUCCCGUUUUGAGAACUUUGAGGUACAGAAAAUAGUUCCUUGGUUUUUCUGAAGUCCUCCUUCAGAGCUGUUUGUUUUGUUGUGCCCACAUUGGCCACAGGAUAUUAGAAAGAUACGGUGGGUGAAGCAAUAUCUUUUAUUGGACCAACUUUUACUGGGGAAAGAGACAAGCUUUCAAGCCACACAGAGCUCUUCAUGUGUGGGAAAGGCCUAGGUAGCAGCAGGUAGAACACACCAGAUCUAGGCUGCUCUGCACUUGAUCCUGCGAUCUGCCCUUGAUGACUCAGACGUCGAGAUAAGGAUAAACCUGGACUCCCCGAUGCAUCAGAUACUUGCUGAGACUGCCAAGGCCUUGGUGGCGGGGGAAGCCAGAAUUGCUUCCUCACCAAGCGUCCUGUGGCACCUUAUAGACUAACAGACAUAUUGGAGCUACCCCUCUGAUACUUCCUCACCAACUGAGACAUAUGCAACCCGAGAGUGGAGGGUGGUCCAAGUGUCCUUCAGACUGUGCAGCCUUGCACCCUAUUUGUUCUGCAAACAGCCCAACUUCAUCAACCAGGAGAUCUUGUAUCAAGGACUACAUCUCCUGGGACAAGCCUGCGGUCUGAAGCCAGAAACUGCACCUCCGCAUGUCCACUGCCAAGGCGACCAUCCUGGUCACCGAACUGGCCACAUCCCUUAUGUCUGUGCUGCCGCGGCACUGCCUUCAGAGCUGGGCACCUGGCCAACAUCCGCCACUUUCCAGCCGCCCAGCUCUGAAGGCAGCAGAGAAGUAAGGGUGGCAACACUGUGACUUCUCCUAAAAUAACCCUGCAAUCCCCGUGCAACUCCCUUUUGGGUCAGGACCCCCAAUUUGAGAAACACUGGUCUCCCCCGUGAAAUCUGUAUAGUAUAGGGUAAAACACAGGACCAGAUUUCACAGUCUGUGAAGCAUUUUUCAUGGCCGUGAAUUUGAUAGGACCUAUAAGUAUUUGAACCCCUUGGCAGAGGCAAAAUAUUUUUUCUCAGUUCUUUUGGAAGUGGGUGGGAUUCAGGACAGGGUCUGCCAGAGGACUUUGGCAAUAUUUAGGACCCCUUCAUGCACUGGCAGAGUGACAAGUGUGGGGGUGGAUGUGGAGAUCACAUUGAACAAAGUGUCUGAUUGCUCCGGCAUCUCUUCUGCCUCUAGGUCAAAGUUAGUGGCUACCCUUUGGAGUAGGGCUUGGUGCUCCUUAAUGUCAUCUAGUGGGCUAACAGGGGAGGGCCCCUCCAUUGCUUCGUCUGGAGAGGAGGACAAGGACUAACCACUGGGGGAGGGCCUCAGGCAUCACCCCAUGCAGGGGAAGGGUGUCUCGGGGUGGGCACCUGUCCCUCCACCUCUGCGUCCACUAGCACUUCAUGCACCAAGCCCAUUGCCACUGGUGUCGAUUGGAGUUUGUCCGAUGUGGCAACCGAUGAUUGGCAAGAUGGGGGCAUCGGCUUAACGGCAUGCCCCAGGCAUUCCAGUAAGACCAUUGAGCUGGACACUGGUCCUGCUGCCAGGAUGGCAUCACUGAGGUGGAUGCAACCUCAAGAGCCCAGUCACGACAGUGCUGUUUGGGUGAGGAGCUGGACUCCUUCUCCGUGCCAGAGGAAUCCUCCUCUGGUGACCACGGCUGUUGAGUAGGGGGAGCAGCACUCUGUUGAGGAGCAUCCCCGAGGUCUCAGUGACAGUAAUUGUUGGUGUGGAGAGGGUUGGCACAAAGAUGACUGCUGCUGACUAUAUGGCGACCAGCGCUUCCCUCUGGGUGAGACUUGACACGAGGGCAGAAAUCAGGAGCGCAGUCUAGGCAAUCUGUGGCAGCAAACCGGUGACCUGGGCUAAUGAAGAGACUACGGAUGUGGUGACAAAGGGCACUGCCUCGGCUCUGGAGACCAGCAGUGCUCACUCGCAUUCUGGGAGGCUUUCACGGCUGGCUUGCCCUUGUAGGGAGCCUUUGCUGGUUCCAUUGCUGACGCGGUGCUGGCUGCGGUGGGAGACUCCUUUGCUCUCUGGGCACUGGGAAGGCGUUGACUCUGACAUCAGUCCGGAUUCCCUACCACUCUCCGAAGUCGGUGGCACAUCCCUUAGGGGUGUAGGAGAUCCCUUUGGGGAAGUGCCCCCUUUCAGCUCUGGUGUGGGUAGGUGGUCCUGACAGGGUCCUUUGCACAAUGCCCCUUGGUUCAUCUUGCUCGGAGUCAGGUCCAACUUCUUGGUCGUCUUCUUGGGCAUCAGUGAAGGGGAUUGGUGUGGGGUGGAGUCUAGUUCUGGGGGCGUGCUACGCACUGAGGCCAAAGUGUUGGGUGAUGGAGCCGGCCUGGCCAGCUCCGAGGCUGGCCAAAGAACAGCCUCCAUGAGGAGGGCCCUCAAGCAUAUGUCACGUUCUUUCUGUGUCCUGGAACAAAAGUUCUUACAGAUGUGACACUUUUAACGUGGGAUUCCCCCAGGCACUUCAGACAGCUACCAUGCGGGUCACUAACAGGCAUAGGCCUACUACAGUCAGUGCAGGGCUUAAAACUCGGUGACCGGGGCAUGUCCUGCUUGUGGCAAAGUCCUUGAUGGAACCCUAACUAACUACAGUACUUAACAGCUACUUACUAACUAAUCUAAAAUAAAACAAAACUAUUUACAGAUGGAACACAAAGUUCGAAAGGGAAAGAAACCACGGAUCACUUGCGAUGCAAGGGAGAGAGGUGCGCCGAGCAACUACCACGCACAGUAAGAAGGAACUGAGAGAGGGCUUAGGGCUGGUGGUGCCUGAUAUAUUGACACACGAGUGCGGCACUCAAAGGGGUGCCACAGCCAACUCUACAGAUACUGUUAAGGCAAAAGUCUCUGACAACUGUGCAUGUGGGUGCCCAUGCACCUAGAAUGGAAUCAACAUGAGUGAACAUUUGAAGACUGUAUCUUUAGUCUGUAUUCCUAUCAACAAUAAUUUUAAAAAGUUAUAUAAAAUCAAUAUACACCCAAUAGCAUAUUACCAACAGAUAAUAAGAAAGGAGUAAAUUCAAAGCUGAAAUUAGUAGUGUAUGUCAGGUGGGAUGAGUACUGAAAGUAAGCACUGAAAGAUUAUAUAGCAAUGGGGAGCUGGAUGAAUCUCUUUGCUGUUCAUUUCCAAAUUAACAUCUGGUUAAGAUUCUCCGUACCUCGGAAAGGAACAUUUUUGGAGGUAUUUGUUAAAACUCUAACUAAAAGUUUUGGUUUGAAUAUAGUCUAUAAAUUCUACAUAUAGACCUCCAUGUUUGACAACAUAGAUAUUCAGAGACCAUUCAGAAACAUAAGUCUUGAAUGCUUUUUCAUAGAGAUAAGAAUUUAGGAUCUAUUUGUAACGAGUAUAUUUGCCAUUCCAGUUGAGGGCAGAGCUUUUAGAUUAUAUUUUAGAUUGUAAAGCAAGAAAAUUAAAAAACACAAAGUAGGACGAGUGCUAAUCAGCCUGUCUACAUUCUCUAGUCAAAUCAAACAAGUGUAGCAUUCGCUAUCUUUAAUCAAGUAGGUUAUAUUCACUGUUUUGCGAGAGCGAAAGCAAUUUCCUUUUGAUUGAGAACAGAUGUUACCUGCACAUAGAAGCACCAAGAUUUUUUAACAACUCCCUUAAAAAAAUGUAUGAAAUCUAAAUAAAAGUGCUUUUUUUUUUUUUAAAGGGAGAAGGACAGGGAAACAAAGAGAAGAGUAAUUAAGGGAUGACAGAAUGCAAGUCAUUACACAAAUAUCUCAAAUCAAACUAAUUUAAUGUUUAAACUAGAGAUUUUAAACAUUUUUAUAUUGGACUGGGAGAACUAUCCAGGUUCAUUUACAAAUGGCUGAAUCUUGCAUUUCAUGUUGGGGGUGUGGUUUCUCUCUCUCCCCCAUUUAAGGCAACUUCAUUACAUUAUUUUAGUCCAGUUUAAGAUACUUUUCCACAUUUUAUAUUUAACACUCACUAUGACUAUAUUACUGUAUGCUAAAUUCACAGUAUUCACUAAAUAAGCCUCAGCUUGGGAAUCCAUAGACAGAGGUUUGUUAAGAAAUGCUUUAUCGCACACACCCAAGUUGUGAAACUAUACUUAUAUUGUUGUCAUAUUGCUUCAAAAUAACACUGUCAGUACAUUUAAUCAGUCUUCCACAGAACACUGCCAUAUUCUUAAUUUUACUCUCCAGAUGUUAUGUUGCAAAUUUCCACCAAUGUUGUCCUUUUUGGUUUGUUAAAAGCAAUUUAAAUAGAUUGCGAAGUUAGCAUGACUUGUUUAUUUUUGUGUGAUGCAACAUCUCUGAAUAUAAUCGUACAAUACUAGGAAUGAAUUAAACUUGAUAGUUAGUAUGAGCUCCGACAUAUUGGAUUAACUGCAGCAAUGCGCAAGGUAUACUGCCUAGGUUCUACUAUUAAUCUGUUUUCAGUAACAAAUAUAAACAUGAGAAAAGAUUUAGACUGAAACAUACAUUUUCCAUUAGAUUGUAACAUAAUCAACACACAUGACCUAAGUAAGUAUAAAUGUUUAUACUAUCACUUAAGGCCAUGUAAUUUACUAUGUUGAAUAAGAAAAGUUUAAAAACUUAUAGGUAUCAUUUAAUAAAAGUUUUACCUUUUUCAGUCAAAAGUAUGUUGCAAAUUAUGCCUUAAAUGAGGUACAGUUUCUGAAAAAUUUAAAUUCUUAUGACCAAAUUGGUCAGUUAUGUCCCAAAUGUAAAGGUGUCUAGUUGAUUGUCCUGCCAAAUGUCUCCAGAAUUAACAGACUGCAGCGAUUCAAACAAAAGUUUUGCCACUAAUUUUCUAUACAUCAAAUAAGCAAGAAGAACACCGAUAUUAUAUCCUUCCACCUAGACCAUGGUAGAAUAUUUUUAAACAAAGGCCAUAUAAUCAUACAUUCAAUACAAAUGAAUUAAUUUCAAGAUUUUUAGAGAAGCUAAGCUUACCUGUGUCAGUGAAAGACUGGAUGUCAUAUGUAAGAUCAACACUCAGAUUUUCAGAAUUUUCUGUCUUCUUAAACACUAAACCAAUCACCCACAUCGUACGAAAUUCUUCCCUGAAAAGUGUUAUUAAAAGAAUCAUGUAAUAUUGGAAGAAUGAAUUUAAGUUACUUAAUCUAAAACUCAGAUAAUGUGGUUUGUAACACUGCUGCAAAAUUUGAUAAUGUAGUUGGUUACAUUUUAGCUCAACUGGCAUGAAAUAAGAUUAAAGUACCAAGAAAUCAAACUGAGAUCCAACUACUGAGAACUCCUACUAAAUCGUAACAGAAAACAAAAAGGUCAAUUUCAUACAAACUAUUAAUCAGUGUCAUUAACCAUAUUUUAAAAGGUAUAAGGCUACUACGAAACACUUAUGGCUUGCUUUUUCAGUUUCAAGUUUCAUCUGUUUACACAAAAGACUUCAGACUUAACAAGAAAAGUUACUUGCCUUUAAUUGUUGUUUGCCUACACAGAUUAUCACUUGAGAUUUUCACUACAUGUUUUGGCAUGUAAGCUCAGAAUCCUCUAGCAAAGGGCAACUGUUAGGAGCAAUGUAUGCACUUGUGUGGAUCCACACAUCGAAGUAAAGGUAGAUAAAGGACCUUGGGUCCAACUGUCCUCAUUUUUUUCCCUAUUAAUGUUUAAAGAGCUUAAAUUCCAGAGAAGGAAGGAGCUGUCAUGGGUCUAUCUGCAAUCUAUUCAAAGAAUGACAGUUACAAGUAAAGCUACAUCUACACUACCACUUAUGUUUGCAAAAUUUAUGUUGCUCAGGGGUAUGAAUAUUCCACCCCCAGAGCAACAUAAGUCACACAGGGAUAAGCGCACAUCUUUUGCCAGUCAUCGGGGUGGUUUUUUAAGGCUUAUGAGAGAGCUCUCCCAUUGGCAUAGAAUGUCUUCACUACAUGUGCUGCAAUGACAUGGCUGUAUAGUGUAUACAUGCCCUAGGUGACCUCUUUUCAAGCAUUGCUUAUAUAUAUUCUCCCACUCUUGGUAGAGUGAUUAGUCAUUACAAUCCUCAAAUGAUAUGGGUCUAAACUAUUUAACAACAACAAAAAUGCAAGGACUGCUCUUCCAAACCUGACAUCAGAUCUAAAAGACAAAUUAAAAGAGCACUACCGAUACGAAUUGACCAAUGCACGAGAUAAGUCACAUUUUCAAUGAUGUUUCCACAUCCAAAUUUGUAAUACAAAUUUAUUAAAUAUGCUGUAUAGAAUUCUUUGAAUACAGUAUAAUGCUUUGAUUUUUAAGGUAUUGAAAUAUCCCUGAGGGUUGACUAUAAAGUGUAAUACAUUUGGAUAGCCUGGAAAUUUGUAAACUGAACUAGUCUUAGAAGACUCCCCCAUUACUUCAAGAAGUCGCUUUACUUUGUCAAGUAUGAAAUCUAGAAAGAGACACCGGCAGACUGAUAAAGACUGGUUCAGAGCAAGGCCAGAUCCAAUUGAUUUCAAAUGAAUUUAGGGGCAAAAUGUUAGGAAUCCAGCUUUGAAAGUUCUUGCUCAUAUUUAGGGCCCUACUAAAUUCACGGCCAUGAAAAACGCAUCACAGACCAUGAAAUCUGGUCUCCCACUGUGAAAUCAGGUCUUGUGUGUGCUUUUACCCUAUACUAUACAGAUUUCACAGGGGAGACCAGCAUUUCUCAAAUUGGGGGUCCUGACCCAAAAGGGAUGUGAGGGGGGUCACAGUAUCGUUACCUUUACUUCUGCGCUGUCUUCAGAACUAUGUGGCUGGAGAGCAACGGUUAUUGGCCAGGAACCCAGCUCUGAAGGGAGUGCUCUGCCAGCAGCAGCAUAGAAGUAAGGGUGGCAAUACCAUACCAUGCCACCCUUCUGCACUGCAGCCUUCAGAGUUGGGCAGCUAGGGAGUGGCGGCUGCUGACUGAGGGCCCAGCUCUGUACCAUACCAUAUCAUGCCAUCUUUUUGCGCGGCUGCUGGUAGUGGCUCUGCCUUCAGAGCUGUGUUCCCAGCCAGCAGCUUCCUCUCCAGCUGCUCAGCUCUGAAGCCAGCGCCGCAACCAGCAGAGCAGACAGAAUUACGGGUAGCAGUACCACCACCCAUCCUACAAUAUCUUUGCAACCCCCCUACAACUCCUUUUUUUGUAUCAGGAUCCCCACAGUUACACCAUAACAUUUCAAAUUUGAAUAACUGAAAUCAUUAAAUUUGCAAUUUUCAAAAUCCUAUGACUGAGAAAUUGACCAAAAUGGACCGUUAAUUUGGUAGGGCCCUACUCACAUGUAUAAACUUUGUUUACAUUUGGAAAUUAAUCCACUGGUAGAAAAGUUUGUCAGCAGUAACUCCCCUAUUAGGUCUGGUUUACACUACAGUUAGGCUGAUACAAGGUAGCUUAUAACCUAGUUGUGCAUGUGUCUGCACUAGUCUCCCACCGCUGUACUGACCCUUACACCAACACAGUAACACCACCUACCCAAGUGGCAUAGAGUCAAUAUAUUUAGGUCAACACAGGGCGAGUGUAGACAUAGCAUUCGUUAUGUCGAACCAGCACUUGUUAUGUUGGCCCAAACUGUCCCACAAUGACCCACACUAACUGUUCUGGUCAUCAUUGUGAAUUCCACUGCCCAGGGGUCAUGGAGACCAGAAGUUCCCUCCCCUUUAAAUCCUAGCAAAUUUUUGACAUUCCUUUCCCUACUUGCACACCUAGUAGCUCUCCACUGUUUGUGGAGCUGCCUAGCUGACCAUGCUGGCUACAUGCUCCUGACAUGGCCCAGUCUGGAGUAGACAGGGCCCGUGGGGAGAAGAGGCUGCGAAACAGCCAUAGAAAUGUUGACAUCAACCAGCAGAUUGCUCAGUGGAUGCAAGAGAAGUACGACAGUGACCAGCAGCAGUGCUGGCAUAGAAGGAGUUGCGGCAGGCUUACCAGGUGGCCAGGGAGAUAAACAAUCCAACUGGUGCCAAGCUGCAGACCUGCUGCUUUUAUAAAGAGCUGCAUGCCAUACUCUGCAGAGAUUCCACCCAACCACAGCACCGUGGAUAUCUCCAAGAAGCCUGAGUGACAAGUCCCUGCCGUGAACAGUGGAGAAGGUACAAUAGUGGACAGGAAGAGAUUUACGUGGAACAGGUGACUGGGGGCUCCAGCUGUACAGCGAGCCAGAUUCUGACAGACCAUCACAGACCAGCCAGUCAAGCACAAGGUCUCCCCCUCCACACCUGUGGAACUCCUGAACCAGCUAAGGAAGAGGAGGAGAAAAGAGGAUUCAGGAUGACAUGUUUAAUGAGAUCCUGCAAGCCAGUACUGCAAGGGACAAUGAACACAGGACCUGGAGAAUGAAAACUGAGGAUAGCCUGGAGAAGGAACAAAUGGAGAGGAGAAAGGUCCAGGAGUCCCAGCAGGAAAAGGAGGAGAUGCACUAGGACACAAUGGGGCUUCUCAGGCAGCAAACAGAUGCAGCAAACUGGUGAACCUGCAGAUUCAACAGUCCUAGGUUUGUCUCCCCCUGCAACCCAUUAAGAACUCAAUAUCAGGAAAUCCCAAUAACCCCUUCCCCCCACAUUCCAUGUGGCAUUAUAGUUUGCAGCACUACUGUUACCAUUCCAUCCCACGGGACAUUAAAGACAAUCACAAGCUUCAUAUAUACAGACACAUGAAAGCCUUGGUUGGUGUAUAUAUAGCUGUAGAGGACAUGAAUUCUUUCCCUUUCAUAAGUUCAGUGGCGAUCUCAAGCUUCUCAGGUGUGAAGCAGAAACAACUUUCAGAUCCAACACCAUGGCAUGAUCUGAGUCUCGCUGAGGCAAUAGACACUCCUCUGGUGCUCGCUGCUCAGAGGAGCAGCGCAGGCAGGAUACAGAGUUCUUGAACCCUGGGACACGGGCAUAAUCCCCAAGGGAAGGGGCUGUCUCUGAAUGGGGAUGACUAGCUAACUUACCACUAACUACUACCAAUGCUACAACUACUAACUAUGAGAAGAACUGCAAAGAACUAUGAACUACUAUACACAACGGAAGAAGUCACUCUCUUAGUAAUACCUAAGAGCGCAAAGGAACAGGGCUUCUGACUCAGGCCAUGCAGCAGUAAUAGAGAACUAGAGAGGUGUCAACUCGCACAGCCUAUUAUGCCCUUGACUGAACAUGAGGAGAUGCACGACGUAUGUGUGGGUCAACCAACACUGACAAGGAAAACCUUCCAACUCUGGUGCAUGUGCAACCACGUUUGGAAUACAUAUAGGGACUAUCACUUGAAGAAAUCUGGCUGAUUCAUUGAGCUUUAUUAAGUUUUUAAUAUAUUUGUUUUUAAAUUGCAUGGGGUUUUUUUGGCAUCAAUUUUGUUAUAGAAUAAAAUUAUAUUAAUAAUC